GUACACUCCUGCGGGAGGCAGCAGUGGGGAAUUUUGGACAAUGGGCGAAAGCCUGAUCCAGCAAUGCCGCGUGAGUGAAGAAGGCCUUCGGGUUGUAAAGCUCUUUUGUCAGGGAAGAAACGGUGAAAGCUAAUAUCUUUUGCUAAUGACGGUACCUGAAGAAUAAGCACCGGCUAACUACGUGCCAGCAGCCGCGGUAAUACGUAGGGUGCAAGCGUUAAUCGGAAUUACUGGGCGUAAAGCGUGCGCAGGCGGUUUUGUAAGUCUGAUGUGAAAUCCCCGGGCUCAACCUGGGAAUUGCAUUGGAGACUGCAAGGCUAGAAUCUGGCAGAGGGGGGUAGAAUUCCACGUGUAGCAGUGAAAUGCGUAGAUAUGUGGAGGAACACCGAUGGCGAAGGCAGCCCCCUGGGUCAAGAUUGACGCUCAUGCACGAAAGCGUGGGGAGCAAACAGGAUUAGAAACCCUUGUAGUCCCAUGAU
rnacentral:rRNA from 1 species